AUGAAGAUACCUCUUAAGAAUAAAAUAUUUGCAUGGUAUCUUCGUCGCGGAGUCAUUCUUACUAAAGAUAACCUUAUUAAGAGGAAUUGGCAUGGAAGUCCGCGAUGUGUUUUUUGUCAUCAUGAUGAGACAAUAAAACAUUUAUUCUUGCAAUGCAAAUUGGCUCGGUCUAUAUGGUCAGUCAUCCAGAUAGCUUCUGGCUUGUAUCCUCCUUGUAGUGUUGCCAAUGUAUUUGGCAACUGGUUACAUGGAAUUGAUCACAGGUUUAGAACUCUUCUUAGGGUGGGAGCGCUAGCCGUUAUUUGGUCGCUUUGGCUAUGUAGAAAUGAUAAGGUUUUUAACGAUAAAAGCACUUCUCUAAUGCAGGUUAUCUACAGAUGUACCGGGACUCUUCGUUUAUGGUCCUUUCUACAACGCGUGAAGAAUCAAGACCUAUUUACGGAGGUUUGUACACGAUUGAAGGAUACGGCGAGGGAUACUUUUAUCCAACAUGGAUGGCAACAUGAUCAUAGGAUUGACCCACCUCCGCUUUAG
rnacentral:rRNA from 1 species